rnacentral:misc_RNA from 1 species
GUAGGUGAACCUGCGGAAGGAUCAUUACCGAGUGAGGGCCCUCUGGGUCCAACCUCCCACCCGUGUUUAUUUACCUUGUUGCUUCGGCGGGCCCGCCUUAACUGGCCGCCGGGGGGCUCACGCCCCCGGGCCCGCGCCCGCCGAAGACACCCUCGAACUCUGUCUGAAGAUUGUAGUCUGAGUGAAAAUAUAAAUUAUUUAAAACUUUCAACAACGGAUCUCUUGGUUCCG